rnacentral:rRNA from 1 species
UGGGGAAUAUUGCGCAAUGGGCGAAAGCCUGACGCAGCGACGCCGCGUGGGGGAUGACGGCCUUCGGGUUGUAAACCUCUUUCAGCAGGGACGAAGCGCAAGUGACGGUACCUGCAGAAGAAGCACCGGCCAACUACGUGCCAGCAGCCGCGGUAAUACGUAGGGUGCAAGCGUUGUCCGGAAUUAUUGGGCGUAAAGAGCUCGUAGGCGGUUCGUCGCGUCGGCUGUGAAAUCCCGAGGCUCAACCUCGGGUCUGCAGUCGAUACGGGCGGACUGGAGUUCGGCAGGGGAGACUGGAAUUCCUGGUGUAGCGGUGAAAUGCGCAGAUAUCAGGAGGAACACCGGUGGCGAAGGCGGGUCUCUGGGCCGAUACUGACGCUGAGGAGCGAAAGCGUGGGGAGCGAACA